rnacentral:rRNA from 1 species
UACGGGGGGGGUAAGCGUUGUUCGGAAUUACUGGGCGUAAAGGGCUCGUAGGCGGCCAACUAAGUCAGACGUGAAAUCCCUCAGCUUAACUGGGGAACUGCGUCUGAUACUGGAUGGCUUGGAUUUGGGAGAGGGAUGCGGAAUUCCAGGUGUAGCGGUGAAAUGCGUAGAUAUCUGGAGGAACACCAAUGGCGAAAGCAGCUCUCUGGGACGGUACUGACGCUGAGACGCGAAAGCGUGGGGAGCGAACAGG